rnacentral:rRNA from 1 species
UGAGGAAUAUUGGUCAAUGGUCGCAAGACUGAACCAGCCAUGCCGCGUGCAGGAUGAAGGUCCUAUGGAUUGUAAACUGCUUUUUUAUGGGAAGAAAAAGUUUUACGUGUAAGACAUUGACGGUACCAUAAGAAUAAGCACCGGCUAACUACGUGCCAGCAGCCGCGGUAAUACGUAGGGUGCAAGCGUUAUCCGGAAUUAUUGGGUUUAAAGGGCGUGCAGGCGGGCUUGUAAGUCAGCGGUGAAAGUUUAUGGCUUAACCAUAAAAUUGCCAUUGAUACUGCUAGUCUUGAGAAGAAUCGGCGUGGAUGGAAUGUGUGGUGUAGCGGUGAAAUGCGUAGAUAUCACACAGAACACCGAUAGUGAAGACAGUUCACGAGGUUUUUCUGACGCUCAGGCG